GUAGACUUAGUGGGUGAGCCGUUGAGGUCGGUAGCGGUACCCACUGUGGACUACUUUUUGCAGUAGUUCUCACACUCAGUUGUGGAAUCCUUUUGCAGAGCCUUCUUCUUCGGCUGCUACUGUUGCGAAUACAGAUCGUGGAAAGGGAGUCACAAGUUAGAUCCCUUCCAGUGCUGCUGCUGAUAUAGAGAUUUACCCGCUACAGAUAGUGUUCGUUUUGGUUUUUAUACAUACUGAUGUUAGAUCCUCGCUGGAGCGAGUAUUUUUGUAUCAGGAUACUAUGUAUGUAUGUUGAAUCGAUGUUAUUUAUAUAUGUUUUUCUAUUUAGUAGCUCUAUACUACUGGCUGUAGUAUUGUAUGUUUACAGAUAUAGACAUAGCUAUCGUUUCGUAUACAGAGUAAAUUCUUAUGUAUACGGCGGGUCUAUUAGCGAGCCCGGAGAAACGAGUAAUCCGGCGCGUGACAUAUGGGUUGUUAGAGAACAGACUAUGUUUUAGACAUGACGAUUGAGAGCUUUGUAUUAUGGAUUAUACUUGC
rnacentral:lncRNA from 1 species